GCGCAGCAGGCGCGAAUCUUCCACAAUGGACGAAAGUCUGAUGGAGCGACGCCGCGUGCGGGAUGAAGGCCUUAUGGGUUGUAAACCGCUGGUCAGGGGGGAAGAACAUCGGAAUGAACAAUACUCAUUCCGACUGACGUUACCCCCAGAGGAAGCUCCGGCCAACUCCGUGCCAGCAGCCGCGGUAAUACGGGGGGAGCAAGCGUUGUCCGGAAUUAUUGGGGCGUAAAGGGCGUGUAGGCGGCGAGGUAAGUCGAAUGUGAAAUCUCACGGCUCAACCGUGAAACUGCGUUCGAAAACUCCCUGCUUGAGUACGGGAGAGGUGUACGGGAA
rnacentral:rRNA from 1 species